rnacentral:rRNA from 1 species
GAUGAACGCUGACAGCAUGCUUAACACAUGCAAGUCAACUGUGGCGUACGGGUGAGUAACGCGUAAAGAACUUGCCUAACAGCUAGGGACAACAUUUGGAAACGAAUGCUAAUACCUGAUACUGUGAGAGAGUUUUGCGUCCCAUUAGCUAGCUGUAGAGGUAACGGCUCACAAAGGCGAUGAUGGGUAGCAGGCCUUAGAGGGGGAUCGGCCCUAAGGGGAGUGAGGAAAGGCCCUUAAUCCUACGGGAGGCAGCAGUAGGGAAUAAUGGACAAUGGCCCAAAGUCUGAUCCAGCAAUUCUGUGUGCACGAUGAAGUUUUCGGAAUGUAAAGUGCUUUCAGUUGAGAAGCGGUACCAACCGAAGAAGUGACGGCUAAAUACGUGCCAGCAGCCGCGGUAAUAC